UACGGAGGAUCCGAGCGUUAUCCGGAUUUAUUGGGUUUAAAGGGUGCGUAGGCGGCCUUGUAAGUCAGGGGUGAAAGACGGUAGCUCAACUAUCGCAGUGCCUUUGAUACUGCAGGGCUUGAAUGUACUUGGGGUAGGCGGAAUGUGACAAGUAGCGGUGAAAUGCAUAGAUAUGUCACAGAACACCAAUUACGAAGGCAGCUUACUAAAGUAUGAUUGACGCUGAGGCACGAAAGCGUGGGGAUCAAACAGG
rnacentral:rRNA from 1 species